CGGGGCGUAGCUCAGUCUGGUUAGAGUGCUUGCUUUGGGAGCAAGAUGUCGCCGGUUCGAAUCCGGCCGCCCCGA
rnacentral:tRNA from 1 species